GAAACGGUAGCUAAUACCGCAUAACGUCGAAAGACCAAAGAGGGGGACCUUCGGGCCUCUUGCCAUCGGAUGUGCCCAGAUGGGAUUAGCUAGUAGGUGGGGUAACGGCUCACCUAGGCGACGAUCCCUAGCUGGUCUGAGAGGAUGACCAGCCACACUGGAACUGAGACACGGUCCAGACUCCUACGGGAGGCAGCAGUGGGGAA
rnacentral:rRNA from 1 species